AUCAUGAUUUUCUAUGAAUGAUGAUCCUCUUCCUCCUUCUCCUUCUUCUACAAUCCUAUUACGAGAGGCGGCCCAUAAACCGCCACAGCUUAUCGCGCAUCAUCUCUUCGUUAAUUGGAUUAUGGCAUAAAUACAUACAAUCGACAGAAU
ensembl:ncRNA F10E9.21 ncRNA